rnacentral:rRNA from 1 species
CCUAAGGGUUCCUCCGGAAGGCUCGUCCGCGGAGGGUGAGUCAGGCCUAAGGUGAGGCCGAAAGGCUAGCUAAUGGAUAACGGGUUAAUAUUCCUGUACCAUCUAUUGUUGAUAUCGAGGGACGGAGAAGGCUACAUCAGCCGGAUGUUGGUUACCGGUUUAAGCGCCUAAGACGUUGAUAAGUGGAGAAAACACUUUGAGUUAAAGCGUGAAUACGAAAUGCAACGGCAUUGAAGUGAUCUAUGCCAGGCUUCCAAGAAAAUCUCGUCAUAUCUUAAGCAGUAGAUGCCUGUACCUUAAACCGACACAGGUAGGUAGGUAGAGUAUACCAAGGGGCGCGAGAUAACUCUCUCUAAGGAACUCGGCAAAAAUAACCUCGUAACUUCGGAAGAAGAGGUACCCUUGAAAAAGGGUUGCAAUAACCAGACCCUGGCGACUGUUUACCAAAAACACAGGUCUCCGCUAAUUCGUAAGAUCAAGUAUGGAGGCUGACGCCUGCCCAGUGCCGGAAGGUUAAAGAAGUUGGUCAAUCUUUGGAUGAAGCUGGCGACUGAAGCCCCGGUGAACGGCGGCCGUAACUAUAACGGUCCUAAGGUAGCGAAGUUCCUUGUCGGGUAAGUUCCGACCCGCACGAAAGGCGUAACGAUCAGGGUGCUGUCUCGGAGAGAGACUCGGCGAAAUAGACAUGUCUGUGAAGAUGCGGACUACCUGCACCUGGACAGAAAGACCCUAUGAAGCUUUACUGUAUCUUGGAAUUGGGUUUGGGCCUUGCUUGCGCAGGAUAGGUGGGAGGCUGUGAAGAUAUUCUUGCGGGAAUGUUGGAGCCAACGGUGAGAUACCACUCUAGUAAGGCUAAAAUUCUAACUCUGAACCGUUAUCCGGUCAGAGAACAGUUUCAGGUGGGCAGUUUGACUGGGGCGGUCGCCUCCUAAAAGGUAACGGAGGCGCGCAAAGGUUCCCUCAGGCUGGUUGGACAUCAGUCGUAGAGUGUAAAGGCAUAAGGGAGCUUGACUGCGAGACCCACAAGUCGAGCAGAGACGAAAGUCGGCCUUAGUGAUCCGACGGUUCCACGUGGAAGGGCCGUCGCUCAACGGAUAAAAGUUACUCUAGGAUAACAGGCUGAUCUCCCCCAAGAGUUCACAUCGACGGGGAGGUUUGGCACCUCGAUGUCGGCUCAUCGCAUCCUGGGGCGGUAGUACGUCCCAAGGGUUGGGCUGUUCGCCCAUGAAAGCGGUACGCGAGCUGGGUUCAGAACGUCGUGAGACAGUCCGGUCCAUAUCCGGUGCAGGCGUUAGAGCAUUGAGAGGAGUCCCCCUUAGUACGAGAGGACCGGGGGGAAUACACCGCUGGUGUACCAGUUAUCGUGCCAACGGUAAACGCUGGGUAGCCAUGUGUAGCGCGGAUAACUGCUGAAAGCAUCUAAGUAGGAAGCCCACCUUAAGAUGAGUGCUCUCACCGCUAUAAGCGGGUAAGGUCACGGUAAGAACAACCGUUAUAUAGGCAUUAAGUAUACGUGCAGUAAUGCAUUUAGCUGAGAUGUACUAACAGACCGAGGGCUUGAUU